AUCAAUAUUACUGCACGCUCUCCGAUACACACACUUGUUGCUCUUAGCACUGACUCGUAAAAAAGGAACUACAUAACAGACAAAUGAUUAGUCCAUCCAUGGUAGUCUUUCAUCUCUGUUUCAUGAAAAUAGUCAUCGCUGAGAGCUGAAUGUAUGGCUUUAGUGCAACAGCUUAUAGGUUGUGAUUGAAACCCGUGAGCAGACAGUCAUAAGUCGAUAACAGUUUGGUGGCAGCGACGGUGACCAGCUGGAUGUUCAACAGAUGACAGGGGAGGAUACUGGGCACUGGGGCCUCCAUCAACAGAUAAACCACAAACAUUAUACUGGGAAAGGGUCAUUCACGCUGGUGUGCAUGACACCAUAGGUUCAUCAGCCUGAACUGGGGAUUGUACAGCCUCUUCACUCAACUCUGUUCCGAGUCCGAGGUGACAGAUACAGUGUGAUCAAGAGGAAAGAGAUAAUCCAGCUAGAGUUACCUCCCAUCAAUGUUAUCCCAACUCUAACUGGCCGACUGUUCCUACAUGUGCAGCAACUGGGGUGACAUUGCUAUACACCUGUAUUUACAGAAUACUGCCCUUGUAGGCCAGUAGAAACUGCACUGAACCUAGACAUUCCUGAUAACAGGCCAAUUUUUUUUUUUUCAUGCUUUGAUGUUUACUGAUCACAAAACAAGAAAAAUCAAGAAUGGGAAAUUAUUUUUUAUAACAAGA